rnacentral:lncRNA from 10 species
AAUUGGAUAUGGGUAUUGUAGCUGAAACGUCUUGCGAGCUGAGUCAGGGUCGGGGAAGCUGUGAUGGCAAUGAGAAGUCAACACACUGAGGAUGGAGAGAAAGAAGAUGAGUCUGGGAGAGAAAGAGAAUGAUUCUUCUGGCCGAGGGAAAGCAAGAAUAUCUGUUCCUGCAACUGCACUGAUUCUAGAAACACUCUCUAUUCGAACUCUCAUGAGGUGCUGACCUGCUUGGUGAAUGCUGGGAUCUCUGGAAGAGGGAGGCAGACAUCACACACCAGCUGGCAAGUGGGAGCUGGCAUGCAACAUGCCCCAAUACCACUCCCCUCCUGCCAUCCCUAUCUCCUAAUGGUGCCUCCUUUUGGCCAAACCCACCUUUGGCUGGAGGGCAACAGAGCCCAUUGACGUGGUCCCCUUGCAUCUGCUACCUGGGGAGAAAAGCAGGAUGGACACUGAAUCUAGAGAAAUGAAGAAACCCAUCCAGAAGAAUACUGCUUCUUUAUGUUUUUGUAGGUGUACAAAUCAGGCCUCCCCAUGAUAUUCUAAACUCCUUGAGGAAAGAAGUGGAGUCCUGGGCUUCUGAUGUAGCCUCCACAGUGCUCAGGGGAUAGCGACACUGGCACCCUAUAGAUAUUUAAUUACAUGUGGACUGGAAGAGACCAAACAGCUUCCUGGUAUUUCAAUCAAACCCGGUGCUCUAGACCUGUGGCUCACUCUGAGCAAACUAUAAUGAGUUGAACUUGAAUCUGAUUCCUGCUAAGAAAGGUUUCAUUUUAAUAGGCAGUAAGGCUAUGAGCUAACACCAGAAUUCAUUCGAGUUACUAGACUCACUGAAACUCCUCACAGGAUCCAUCUUUCAUGUUUUCUAGAUUUUGGUAUUCUUAUCUAAACUGCAGACCCAGAAACCCUAUGGACCCUACCUUUCCAAUUAUAUUUCUGGGAAGAGUCAUUCUCUGCAGAGCUGAAGCAUGUAACAGAAAGUUCUCAACCUGAAAAAUAUACCUUCUGCGCCCAAGCCCCACUUUCUGCCACUAUUUGGUAAUCUCAAGUGGGUGAGGUGGUCUCUGAACUUCAGCGCUCUCAUGGUCAGAGCCACAAGGGGUUACUGGGAGGCUAAAGGGAAGUGGCAAACGUGGCUGAGAUUCAGAAAGAAAAGCAGCAAGUGUAGAGAGGCAAGGACUUUUCCAUCUUUUAAAUUCCUUAAAGGAAGCCAAAGUUCAUUUUCCAGUCUCCUUCAGAUGCCUCUCCAAUCCUUCACAGCAGCGCACACAUACCGCAGAAGGAACUCACCAUCACAAAAAGAUGACAGAGCACUGGGGGCUGGGGUGCCACUUGUGUUGGCUGAGAGCCUGGAUGCAUGUGAGGUCAAGCCUGACCUUGGGAAAGCUGCUCUCUGGACAUUACUUGCUGUGCCACAUACACAGCUUGGGUUUCUGAGGAAACAACACAGGCUCUAAGGAGGAACUGGAACGGGGCCCAGGGUAUAUCUUUUACAGCCCGUACUUUUGAGGAAAAUAGAAGACAAAAGGUUUUUAAAAAACACAAAGUGUAUACACGUAUACACAAAGUUUACAAGUUUGUGUGUUUUAACAUCUACUCUCCUUAAGAACAAGUAGACAGGAAAGAUAUUACCUGAUAUGGGUUAAAUUGUGUCCCCAAAAACAUGUUUUGAAGUGCUAACCUUUGGUACCUGUGGAUAUGACCUUACUUGGAAAUAGGUUUUUGCAGACGUAACCAAGUUAAGAUGAGGUCAUAUUUGAUUAGGCUGAACCCUGAAUCCAGUAUGACUGGGGUCCUUAUAU